ACUCCUACGGGAGGCAGCAGUGGGGAAUUUUGGACAAUGGGCGCAAGCCUGAUCCAGCAAUGCCGCGUGCAGGAAGAAGGCCUUCGGGUUGUAAACUGCUUUUGUCAGGGAAGAAAUCCUCUGGGUUAAUACCGUCGGGGGGAGUGACGGUACCUGAAGAAUAAGCACCGGCUAACUACGUGCCAGCAGCCGCGGUAAUACGUAGGGUGCGAGCGUUAAUCGGAAUUACUGGGCGUAAAGCGUGCGCAGGCGGUUGUGCAAGACAGGUGUGAAAUCACCGGGCUUAACCUGGGAACUGCACUUGUGACUGCACGGCUAGAGUACGGUAGAGGGGAUGGAAUUCCGCGUGUAGCAGUGAAAUGCGUAGAUAUGCGGAGGAACACCGAUGGCGAAGGCAAUCCCCUGGACCUGUACUGACGCUCAUGCACGAAAGCGUGGGAGCAAACAGGAUUAGAUACCCCUGGUAGGAUAGCG
rnacentral:rRNA from 1 species